ensembl:lncRNA
GGGUGUUUUAGGGUGGGGGUGUGUGUGACAAGGUCUUUCGGGAGUGUCCCGUAAUGAGAUGUCUUCUGGUCUUGACCGCUGCCAAGGUUGUACUUUGGUUUGUUUGAUUGCUUUGGUUUGUGUGAUCGCAGAUUGUGUUGUUUCAGUUUCCUUUAGAAACCUCCACAAUGCACCGGUGAUCAGGCUAGCGUUUGCCGUCGCAUUAACGCUCGCUUAAAGGGGAUGUCUUCAGGGUUCUGAUGAUGUCAAGUCAGUUCUAAUGAUCUCAUGUAGAUUCUGAUGUGUCGUGCGGGUUCUGAAGAUGUCAAGUAAGUUCCGAUGAUGCCACGUAGGUUCUGAUGAAGUCGUGUAAGUUCUGAGGAUGUUGUGCAGGUUCUGAUGGUUUCAUGUAGGUUCUGAUGAUGUCAUGUAGGUUCUGAUAUGUCGAGCUGGUUCUGAUGCUGUCCUGUGAGUUCUGAUGAUGUCACGUCGGUUCUGAUGAUGUCAUGCAGGUUCCGAUGCUGUCUGUUAAUGCCUGAAGCACUUCCAAGAUUGCUGCCUCCCGGUUACCAGAUCUGCCCCGCCCCCUGCUGUUUACUGCCUCUCCCUGCGGCCACUCCUAAUUACCAGACAGAAACACACAAUCCCAAAUAGCCUGUUGCAAUAUUGUGCUUUCAUGUGGGUUUGGUUAUGUGGCUCAGCUUCAUAUUUUGUUUGAUUAGGAAUACUUUUGUGUCAAGAGGCAAACAACACUUUAAAAUAAUAAUUAGAUAAUCAUAGUCUCAUUUAUUUUUUUCAACACUUUUCUUCAUGAAGCCGCUGACAGCCAAAAGGUCACAGAGCUCUGUAUUAAUAUCCUGCAGCCAAGGUGCAGGUAGACACCCGAGAACCCCUCCUUCCUCAUCAUCUCACCUCCUCUCUGGUCUUCGGCUGAGCUCGAGACAUGUAGGACCCAUUAACCACUCUAGUCUGUGAUGCUGCGGGCUGCAUAAGCCUGCCUGAACCACGAUGCAUGCUGGGUAAUGGGAGUGGGGUGUGUCCUUGACAUUUGCUACAUGCAGAAUCCCCCCAGACGUGACAUAACAGGCUUAGGAGCGGAGAGGUUGUGUGUCCACGUACUCACUUUUAUGUAUAUAUACUUAACAACAUGCAAGGCAGGAAUGUGUGCUGGGCUAGGGGUGUUUAGACUACAAAGCCGAAAGGUAUUGGGUUCAAUCCCCAUUGUCCAACAUCCUACUUGCAGGCAGCCUUCAACAAGAUCCCAUAACACCCCAACCUCUGCCUCAAGGACCUGUAUCGGACUUCACCGUAAGGCGCGGGUGAAGGGUGAAAGCGUCGCCGUCAUGCCUGAAUACUAAACCAGCAUCCUCAACAGCACCCGUAUGUCAUUAUCCCCCGACAUCUGGUCCAAUCAGAGAGCUGCUCAACUCGCGGCCAUAGCAACCGAAGAGCAACUGUAUAAAUAGUAAUUUCUCGCCUUUAAUUAUAUUCGACUUCCCCUUUUCCUCUGGUAGUCUGCAGGCCGGGUCUCUGAGUCACUGGGGAUUCCACCCUGAAAUGGGCGUCGGCUCUUGGGACGGUACUUCUUCCUCGUUUUUCUCGUUCCUCUUGCUGAGAUCCGAGCACUGCCUCUCAUGUCAUAUCAAACUAUUUUUCCGAAACGUUUUAAUGCUUCAACCAUUGCAAUCCUGGCAUCUUUGUCUCAAGUGCCCCUCGUGAUCUCAUUGGCUCUAACUGUUUCCUUUUGCUAGGCGUACCCGUUACGCUGAGUCGUGUAUAUACUGUAUGUCACGUGGUGAUUGACAGAUCCCUCCCAACCUUCCUAUAGGCGGCCAGGGGCCUUAUUAACCCAGCAGCCAUCUUGGUUCCAAUUUGGGUCUAAACACUAGCAGGGUGAUGGAACUGGGUGCUUGUGAAGAAUAAAGUUGGCUGGCGGGUUGAUAAGGCCCCUUAUUGAGCUCCAACUGAUGCCUCGAGACAUCAGUUGGGAUAACCUUUUGAACACAGUGCGAUUGCGAUGCACCGACUUAUCAGGGUUCAUGCGGCACAUUGAAAGUGUUGACAGACUAGACCAUGACAGAUCCAUUGCCGGGCUUAUCAACUCCAUGAAAUCAAAGCAAGGUGGAACUUGUUGCAGCUAGGCAUACCUGACAGUGAAGGUCUUCUCGCUCGCCCUAUAUCUUCUUCUUUUUUUUUCAUCCUAUAUCUUUACGAGUACCCUGAAGGGACGACCCACUUGUCAGCCCCCUCACUUUAUUUUUGUUUGAAAAAUCGUUUAAAAAAUAUAUAUUAUGCGUUGGCACAGGUUAGGAUUUGGCGGAAUAGUUUCCUCUUCUCUCUUCGUAAGCAAAAAUACAAAAAACAACGAACAGAGGCGUCGUGUUUUGCUAAAUAAGAUCUUCGCCAUAAGAUUGGUUGGUUAUGGGAAGAGUGAGCUUGGCUUUAACCAUUGUUUUCCCCUCUCUCUCCUUCUCUCCCUCUCUCUCUCUCUCUCUCCCUCCCUCUCUCUCUGUUCUGCAGAUGAACGGGACCGGGUUCAGAAGAAGACCUUCACAAAAUGGGUCAACAAACACUUGAUGAAGGUAAGGACACAAAUGUAUUCAUAAUGUUUUCAUGCAUGACAUUAUUGAGUCAAAGGUAAACGUCUCCUACAGCCUUCAAUUACGACUAAUUAUCAACUGUCUUUCCAUGAAAAUAAGGAAAUAAACCUCGACAUGCCAUUCUCAUAUUCUCGUUUUGCAGCUCUAGUGUAAGGAAUGUUUAAUAGACACGCCUUCAUGUAACUGUUAGCCAGGUGACUCACAGGAUAUCUCUUUAUUGAUUUCAUACCCUUGGGCCUAGACUAUGAAAAAUAACCAAUAUAUGUACGACACAUAAAUAAAUGCAAACAGGGAGCCCAGGAAGAGCGCGUACCGUAUUGGCUUAGUCCUGAUCGCAGCAACCCGGGUUUGAUUCCUGCCCGGGGUCAUUUGCUGCAUGUCCUUUCCUCUGUCUCCCAUACCUUCCUCUCUAACUCACCUCUAUAAUAAAAAAAUAAAGCAUAAAAAUGCAACAAAAAUAAAUAAAUAUACAAACGCACGCCUUUCUACAUGCAUGCCGUCAAACGGUGUCCACCCUUUGUGGAAAAGAACAACAAGCAUAGCGUCCAUGUUUACCGUUGACGUGCACGAGAUGUGAGUCACACACACCUGGCCUGGCCUGGCUUGGGUUAGCAUCUCCCAAAACAAACAGACACACACACACACACACACACACACACACACACACACACACACACACACACACACACACACACACACACACACACACACACACACACACACACACACACACAUCCGCCUAGUCUGGUCUAGAUUGGGAGCCGUUCAUGGGGCUUAGUAUUCACAUCUGGACCCAGCCCCCCAACCCCCCACCCCCAGCUCCAGGUUGGGCUCCGGGGCCUCUGGGUUCUGAUAGAGAGAACAGGAGGAUUCAGUGUUCACAAACUCAGCCUGGGGGGCGGCUUGUGAUAGUUAAUUUGUGUAAUUUGUAGUUUUCGGCUCAAAUGGAACACUUCCUGGUUCCCAUGAUUCAUUGGAAAGGUUUGGGUAGCAGAUGAAGUUAGAUGAACACAUUUGAGUUACAUUCAGGUUAUAUUUGUGUGUUGUGUUAGUGGUGGUUAUAUUUAGUUUUUGUUUUUAGAGAUGGUUAGGUAUUAGAUUAGAGAUGGUUAAGUUUAGCUACUUCGGUUAGGUUGGAGAUGGUUAGUAUUAGUAAGUUUACUUAGGUUCUGUCAUAUUAAAUACCCGAAUCAGAAAUAAUUGACGCGCCCUGAGGGGAAAUGGGUUAACAAAGUACACAACCUAACCUAGCUUUUAAUAUCAGUUGACCUAUCGAGGGCUGGUAAAUGAAGUAGAAAGCCAUAUUUCUUGGCAGUGACUCAACAAAAACACAGACCCCUAAAGGAUUUCUUGUGGUCUUUGAAGGUGUGAUGUGAGUGAUGUGAGUACCGUGCUGCGGUGAACACCGUUGGCCUGCGGCAGUUGGCGCACACGGUGGCCAUGUUCUUUAGCACACCGCUGAAGUCUGUCGGCCCAGAGAGGAAUUCCCGGGCCGACACACAGGGGAGUCGCUGUGGACGUCCUUCUCAGCCGCUAGACCGGGCUUUGUCCUCGCUUGUUAUUCUGUUCAUUGUCCGGAAAUCCUACCCCCCUGUGCGUCCGUGGCAGACUGGCACCGCUCAGAGUUCUGGCUCGCCCUCAAAAGGCUGUUUGGGUUCAGCGUCGGAACGAGGUCCUGCCGUGCUGCUGUAGCGUCUGGUCGGCGGGCACAAGCCGCUCCCGCAGUCGGCCAUUUUAAAAAAAACACCCCCUUUAGCUUUGAUGUUCUUGGAACAACCCUCGUAAAAGAGACUCACAAAAAUUGUCAAAAAUUGUUGUGCUUUUCUUUAUUUUAUUAUCUACUUUGUACUUGUCUUUCUAUAAUCAAUCCCCGAUGUUGGGUUUCCAAGAUCCAAGAUCAAUAUCAGAUAGCAUGAGGCUGAACAUUUUGAAACGGCAGUCCAUAUUUGUAAAUCAUUUUAGAAAAUGUUUUACAAUUUAAUGCAUUUAAAAAAUUUUAAGGAUUCGAAUACAGCCACUUUACUAUUGAGUCAUGUACAUAGCUUACGAAUCAAACAUGGUAAUAAAUAUAGUGCACAUUGGUGGUGUUUAUUGGCUUCACCAAUAUCUGGUCAAACUUCUUCUUUAUGCAUCCAUCAAACCGGAGUGUCUGUUGCCUGGUUCCUAUUUCGCCCCGUGUACCUCAUCCUCUGGCAACAACCAAAAAGAAUGUUCUGUCUCCACUCACCGUCCUCUCAUUAUUCUCUCCACCUUUCAUCCUCCUCUCUCUCUACCCCUGUAUCCUCUCCACAUUCUAUCUCCCGCUAUCCUCUCCACAUUCAUCUUCCUCACUAUCUCUCUCUCUCUCUCUCUCAACCUUUCACCCUCCUCUCUCUCUCAACAUCCAACUUCCUAUCUCUCUGUCUACAUGCUUCAUCUUCCUCUCUGUCUCCGCCAUUCGUCUUUCUCUCUCUCUAUCCUUCAUCUUCUUCUCUCUCACUCUCUCUCUCUCUCCACCCUUCAUCUUCCUCUCUCUCUCUCCACCCUUCAUCUUCCUCUCUCUCUAUAUCCUUCAUCUUCCCCUCUCUCACUCUCUCUCUCCACACCUCAUCUCUCUCUCCCACCAGCACUGGAAAGUGGAGGUAGGUGCUUCGGUCAAGCACGCCAGUUCUUCUGAGUGCUGAGUGUACCCCCUAACCCCCCACACACAAACACCCCAUCCCUUCUCUGCAUGAACCCCCCCCCCCCCCCGACUUGUCCCCUCGUGUUUGACCCCUGACCCCUCUAACCUUCUUGAUCAUAGAAGCCUGUGUUUUUUGUCCUUUUUUUCCUGAUGUGUUGUGUUCCAGGACAGUUGGUGGUUCGGUAAUGAUCGUGAAUUACUGACCGAUAUGAAUGUGAAAUAUGUUAAAUAACUUCAGUGCUGUGUAGUAAUGGGCUGCACUUGAACGAUCACGACUAUAUUUGUAACCCCAACCCAAGUGGCCGUGAUCAGUGUUAACCUAAAGUGAAUCAAAGUUUCAGUCAAAUAACCCCACUAAAGUUAUCUAUCUACAUUACCACCAUUAGUACAAAAAAUAUGCAUAAAAUGCUACUAUGUUAAUACCAAUUUCAGGGAACCUUAAUGACAUCAAUAUUUGUGUAGAAGAUGAUCUUCUUUUCAUAGUUUCAAGUGAAGAACUGGUUUAUUAUAUACACAGCACAUGUCAAUUCUACCUCUGUAAGUUUUGAGUGUGGUUGCUUUGUUUGGUGCUUCCUGGCCUCGAUAGUUGAUAAUAACACAUCUCCCAGACAGACCCCUCUGACAGUAGUCUAACACCACCUCAUGUGUUUGGUUAGGCAUUUUCCCCUGUGUUACUCUGUUUCUUUUUGUUGGAUGAACCAGUGUUUUCAGAAAAGACGGUUUCUGGGCUUUGUGUAAAGUUUUGUGUGAUAGUCUAAAGUAUGGAACGUUCAGAACCGACAAAGUGAACAAGGAUUUCAGUAUUCUUGCCCCAUAACAUCUAUAUAUUGUGUAUUCUUCACCUUUUUUAUUUGUAUCCGUAUAAUGUUUACAAGCAGAAAUAAAUAUAUAAAAAACAUCAUAUGUAUUUACAUGAACUAAAACAAUUUUGACUAGUGAAAGUCAUAUACCUGCAAUCUAUCCUAUAGCUCCUAUUGCCUUGUACAAUAUUUAUAACUAAUUUGUCGCCGCCCAUACGCUCUGCAAUUGUUUGAAGUCAGCAUGGGAACAGAAAAUCAGUUGGGGUUCAGAAAAAGAGCGGGAAAAAGUUUAACCGAUGGCUCCCCUUCUGUCCUCAGGCCCAGAGACACAUCACGGACCUCUACGAAGACCUCCGCGAUGGACACAACCUCAUCUCCCUGCUGGAGGUGCUCUCUGGGGAGACCCUGGUAAGAUCACCCUGACCUGUGACCUGUGACCCUUUACCUGCUAGGGGGCGUGGCCUGGUUCGACCUGCUUCAACCCAACCGCCACCCUCUGCUCCCUUUGUUUCUAUCGUCCUCCUCUCUCCUCUUCCUCUUCUCUCGUCUCCCGACUCCUCUCCCCUCACCCAACUGACGUCAUUUGCAAAUUUUUUGUGAACAUGCCAUUUGUUCAUUAUCUUUCUUUGUCAUUGUGACUUUUUCUAAUACGCUUCAACUGCUGUUACCUGUUGACUUCCUGUGUAACAUAGCGCAAACCUGUUGGCUUUUCCUGUUAACACUGCCUUGCAUGCCUCAGAUCAGAUUUUUGCAGCGGACAAAUUCUAGAUUUUCCUUUCUCGAUACCCCUUUACCUUUACUUUGAGCUCACCUUGUGGUUGACAACCUCCACAGCCCCUAAAAAUACUAAUUUUCAUUAAUUAAUUUUCUGUUUCCUAAGAUUAUAAUUACUUAGAUUCCCCGUUGUUCUUUUCUAUCUAACCCCUGUUUGCUGACCUUUGAACUCUCCCCCCCCCCUCCCUCCCCCCUCUGCCUCUGCCUCUCUUUUCUUGCGAUGCCCUUGCCUCGGUAGCCGCGGCAACGCGACCUUGCGAGGAACGUGCGGUUGGUGAGUGGCGCCCGGCCUGGCCUCCUCUUCGGGCGUGGCAUGUGUCACCCCCGCCAGGUGGCUGCCAGAUAGUGCAUGAUGUCACUUCCUCCCCCCCCACCCCCCUCUCUCUCUAUCUGUGCCAUCCUUCACCUGCCUCCCUUUCUCCAUUCGACCGAUGCGACUUCGCCGCGGAACGGUCCCCUAUUGGUCGGUUAGAGGUCACAUGGUCUGGUGUACCUCGGUAGUUAGUCCUGUGUUGGUUAUGUACAGGUCCUUUGAUUUUAGCUGUUGUUUUAAUGUUGUUAUAUAAACGUUUAAUAUGAACUCAUUUUGCAGUUAAAAUUAAAAUAAAAGAGGCAUAAUCUUUUAGGAUCAACUUUUCAACUUAGCACAUCUGGGAUCGGCAUCUCUAUGAGACAAUAAUAUUGCAGCUCAUACUAUUGCAAGGCAUCGGCUUGCUUAUAGAUUCUGGCAGCAUUUGCAUGGAUUGAUUAUGUUUGAGUACAGGUUGGAGUGUAUAUCUUAAAUACCAUCGUAUAGGUCAUAGUGAUUCUGUGGCUGUCGUACGUAAAUCAGACGCAUCGUUAGACGCAAACAGCUUGGCUUCAGGGGUCUGCUCAAACGUGGGGUUAAAUAGUCAAGUUGUUCUUAAAUCAUGACCUAAUCCUCCCAUGAGUUCUGCAAUUUCGCCCCCCCGAGGGCAUAACGCAUAGCUCACUUUAAUCAACCGCUACAGAAAAACUCAGAGUAGCUGAGUCGGUUGACAGUUGACGGAGGAAAAGUCCCAGAAUCCUUUUGUUUUAUUUUUUCGUUUUGUUUCUUCGACUCAUUGUCAUGCUUCCCCUCCCCUCCAGACCUGGUCGACUGGACCUCAGAGUCCCGACUGCCCGAAUGAACUUCUGCUCCGAUCUCACACACUAAAACACCAAAUCGCAGAACCACGAUAGAACUCAAAGUCACCUCCGUCUCGUGUCUGUUUGGUUUUGUUUGACAUAUAUAUAUAUCCCUGAGACAUAACUGUGGAGAUGUUCACGUUAUUAUGUGUUAUGAGUCCAGAACUGUUAUAGUGCGUGAACACACAAGAGCCUCUCCCGCUCUCUGCGAUCCCGCCCCUCAGCCACGAGGCCCGGCUCACUCUGCUGACGGUUCUCAUGCGUGUGAACGACGCUGUCGCCCAUGGCAACUAACGGCCGCCAUCUUGUCUUCCCCAGCCCCGGGAGAAGGGCCGCAUGCGCUUCCACAAGCUGCAGAACGUACAGAUCGCCCUGGACUUCCUCAAACACAGACAGGUGAGAAACUCAGCCCUAUGCCUUAUGUAACAUGGAGCUCCCUUUACUAAAGCUUCCCACUUUGUUACGUAUUUGUAGUACAAUUCUAAAGAUAGGGUUUAGUGAAUGCUCAUAUUGAUAUCUUCGCAAAUCAUAGAGGAUAUAGGCUUAUUUUGAAGUUGUAUUGAUUUACACAGCAUAAAGUAUAAAACAAAUAUAUUAAAUUAAAACUUUAAUUGAUCGAUUACUCAAUUUCAAAUCCCAAAGGUCAAGCUGGUCAACAUCAGGAACGAUGACAUCGCCGAUGGAAACCCCAAGCUGACCCUGGGUCUGAUAUGGACCAUCAUCCUUCACUUCCAGGUAAACUACAAAGCACAACUAUAGAACUGAAAAAGCCUUCAGGCAGCCUUUUUCCCAAAUUAUUGCUCAACUUUAUCUUGCUAAACAAAGGCCUUGAUUGAAUUGAAUGAAUUAUCUUUAAGACUGCAAUUACAUUUUCAAACAUAUUUGGCGUAAUCACAAAAACAUUACAUACUCCUUGCUAUCUUAGCUUGGAAAGUCUUCUAAUCAGCCUCCAUUAAGGCUGUUGACACAGUGGUCAGCGUGACAGACCACCAUGAUCCAUUUGAAACUUCCUCAACAUUUGGCAACACUUAACGUCUUUGUACACAUACUAUGCUACGUUGGGAAGACUAAACUAAAGUUCAAAGCCACUGGAGAUUAAACUGAGAAACAAACUCACUGUACUAUUUCAGAGUAAAUAUUCCUACUAUUAAAAAAUGGUUGCACAAUUGAGCAACGGGUGUGGAAUAUGAUUAGUCAGUUUGUCAGUUAGCUUAGCUACUUUGUUUGUUUAUUAGUUUGGUAUCCCGAUUUUCCAGUGGGAGCUUACUUAUGACAUUGCGGUUAUCAAGAAGAAUUUCGGGUGGCAGGGAGGCUGUGUGAAGUGGAGCCGGGGUGGCUUUCCACGCUGACUCACGCUUUCCCAGGAGAACGUCCAGAGUAGACGCUAACUCCGUUAAAACCACCGGCGGCCAUUUUAGAGGCUUGAGAACGAGCUGCUGGACGUUGCCCACAGACUGGCACACGGUAGUGAUUCAGAACAAUGGCUGAUAUCCCCCGGGCCCCCGGUCGUGUUUUAUAGCAUUAUCUCAUUAGAGAGUUCUGGUGGGGGCUGACCCACUGCUGGGAGCCAGAGCAGGGAGGGUCUGGCCUCCAACAGUGGACCGGAACCGUUGGGGCGGAGGCCCGGUUUCCACCAAUGGCCUCGACUGAGUUAGUCAUCAUACAGACCACAGCACUGGGUUUCCUAUGCACGUGUGUGUAUGUGUGGGAGAGUGUGUAUGCGCAUUUGGGCUUUCCCCCCCCCUCUCUCCAUCCUUCCCCGUAUAGAAAGCCUGGAUGUGAAAUGAUGAGUUGACGGUGACUCACUAGCGUGUUGCCAAAACAAAACUCCCACCACCCCCCCCAUCGCCACGCUCGUUAUAAAGACAGACGUUUCCCUUCAGACCGUGGAACAGCUCAUUGAAAUAUGUGCUGUUUAUAUAUGUACACACACUCUCAGCUACACACACUGACUGAAGUCAUUAUCUUUUUUUUUGUAUCCUGUGAUUGGCUAAAUUCAAACUGUGUAUUCUGGGAAAAGGAUCGUAAAAGUAGGGAAAAACGAAAUCCCAUGUAAUAUAAACCAUUUGUGUCCACAUAAUUCAGACAUCAAACACUGGAGCAUACACCGUAGUUGUGGUAGUAAAUCGAGCUUAUAAGGUGGAUUUUCUGCUAAAUUCCUAAUGUACCACCCCCCCCUCCACACUCACACACAACCAUUAAGCAUUCACUCUCCCAGUCAGAACAGAAAUGAGCCUUACCUCAAGCGACCUCCAUAUAGCUCAGACCCUCCCCCUUUUUCUAGUCCUCCAAUCGUUAACCUUUUCAACGUCCCUAUUUAAUCUGAAACAUUUAGCCCCAGUGCAGUAUUUGCGGUGGAAUUUAACAGCCUUACAACUGUUACUGGCGGUUGGUGGGUUUGAGGUUAUGGAAUGUGAGUCAUCUGGCCGGAAUCAACACAAACCCUGUCUUAGACGCAACCGAGCUAAAAUCUCUGCCUACAUUAUAAUCCACUUUGCUUCAAACUCUCAGACAAAAUCUAUACACUCAAAUUACCAGAGCGACUGGAUGGUCGGAAAACUUGACUGUGACUCUGCCGUCUUUAAUUUGGGACAGGAAUGUCAAAUCCUUUUCCUUGAGGUCCAUUUUCCGGUACCUCAUUUUCUACAGUAGAGCUGCGUUACCAUGAUGAUGAUUAUGAUUCAGGCAGUGUGAUCAUUGAUCCAAACAAGGAAUGGUAGCCCCUAGCAACCAUCUAGCAAAAGAUUUGUCUAUAUAAAAAAAGCCUCCUCAUUUUCAAGAUUUCUAAAAUUUGUAGACUAGAAAAAAAUAUAUAUUUUUCAAAAACAUAGUUCAAUUUAAACUGGAAAUGCAUUGUUAUAUCUUAGGCCUCCUCAUUUAUAUUUCAAGGUUACAUAAAAAUAUAAAUAUUUUGAUAAUUACCAUAUCAUGACAGUUUGAUUACUAUGAUGGCGCCCCCAGUGGUGUAACAGCAGUAGUAGUAGUAGCAGCAGUAGCAGUAGUAGUUGUAUUAGUAGUAGCUGCGGUAUUGCAUUUAUUAUAUGUGUAAUAUUGUACUAGUAAUGAUUAUUGCAGUGCUAAUGACUUUAUAGUGCUAAUGAAUUAUAUUUAUUGUAGUACUAAUGACUUACAUAACUUAAUGACUUAUAUUACUGUGGUGCUAAGAACUUAUAUUACUGUAGUCCUAAUGACUUAUAUUACUGUAGUCCUAAUGACUUAUAUUACUGUAGUCCUAAUAACUUAUAUAACUGUAGUCCUAAUGACUUAUAUUACUGUAGUACUAAUAACUUAGUUGUAGUACUAAUGACUUAUAUUACUGUAGUACUAAUAACUUAGUUGUAGUACUAAUGACUUAUAUUACUGUAGUACUAAUAACUUAUAUUAAUGUAGUACUAAUGACUUAUAUUACUGUAGUCCUAAUGACUUAUAUAACUGUAGUCCUAAUGACUUAUAUUACUGUAGUACUAAUAACUUAGUUGUAGUACUAAUGACUUAUAUUACUGUAGUACAAAUAACUUAUAUUAAUGUAGUACUAAUGACUUAUAUUACUGUAGUCCUAAUGACUUAUAUUACUGUAGUACUAAUAACUUAUAUAUGUAGUACUAAUGACUUAUAUUAAUGUAGUACUAAUGACUUAUAUAACUGUAGUCCUAAUGACUUAUAUUACUGUAGUA